rnacentral:lncRNA from 10 species
GAAAUUUCUCAGGCUGCUGCUAAGAUCCACGUGUUCCCCUGCUCAAGGUUCAACUUCCAGGCUAUCUAAAUGGGUUUACCAUAAGAAGAAGCAAUUACACUGCAGAAAAAUUCUCUUUACCUUUUUGGUAACUGGCCAAAGAAACAAAGACUUUGCAUUUUAUCAAGAUAACUUCAUGUGGUCUUUAUUAGAUUUUUGAUUGGUUGGGGAAACUGAGCUUUGUAAGGGUUAAGAUUUUUAAAAUCCAUGUAACUUUCUGUAUUGCUUUUGAAGUCUUUUGAUUAUUACUCUGGUUAAAAUAAAUAAUAAUAAUAAAAAAG